UACGUAGGGGGCAAGCGUUGUCCGGAUUUAUUGGGCGUAAAGCGCACGCAGGCGGUCUCUUAAGUUUCGAGCGACAGGUCAGGGCUUAACCCUGGCAGGCCUUGGAAAACUGGGGGACUUGAGGGCUUCAGAGGGACGCGGAAUUCCAGGUGGAGCGGUGAAAUGCGUAGAUAUCGGAAGGAACACCGGUGGCGAAAGCGGCGCGCUGGACCUCUUCUGACGCUGAGGCGCGAAAGCCAGGGGAGCGAAAGGG
rnacentral:rRNA from 1 species